rnacentral:rRNA from 1 species
AUGGACAACAAGCCGCCAAUCUGCAUGCUCAGAGAUCAGUGUUCUUCGACGACGGUAGCAUUAAAAACUAUCCUCCCACAUACUCUGCAUAAGCUGUGUCGGUGGCAUAUCAUGAAGAAGUACAAAGACAACCUCGCCUUGCUGUAUAAGGUGCACGAGAAACUCAAGGAUGAACUCAAUGCGGUGCUGAACCACCCACUAAUGCCGUCAGAAUUUGAACAAGCAUGGAAGAACCUCAUUCAGAGGUACAACUUGCAAGAUGACGAAGUGAUGAAUUCGCUGUGGGAUGAUAGGCACGAGUGGAUCUCGGCUUACUACAAGGAAAUUUUCUGUGCUCGGAUGACUUCCACACAAAGAAGCGAGAGCAUGAACCACAUACUGAAGAAAACUUUUGUCAAGGAGAAGCAUGAUCUCCAUCUGUUUGCUCAGUAG